CUCUGAACUGCUCACUGAGAACACUUGUUCCCUUUUGAGAAAAGAUGCAAACCAUCUUUUCCAUUCCAAACAGAGCUGUGAUGAGAAAUAAAGCCAAAUCCUUGCUCCCGACACCAUUCACCAAGCCACAAGUUAAAGUCCAUAAUACGCAUCCGCCUGUCGUUCAUAGUGUUAUGCACAGGCAGAACUUCAGAGAAUGACAGUGUGGAAGCAACCUGCCAUAUAUCAUUGGCAAAAACACUAAAAACUUCCUUAACCUAUGAGAAGCAUUUGAUUGGAAAGCAAUGUAAGUGCAUAAGUAGCUACCUAUCCAUAUGAAUGGAAAACUCCUGAUUGGUUUAGACUCUCCCUGUGGCACUCCUCCAGAUUCUGCUGGGGGAACUGGAGGCAACAUUUGGGUUACACCAUUCACAUGGUCAUUCCUUGCACCAUAACAACAUAAUUUUAAUUAAGUUGUUAUGGUGUCCAGAGUGUUCCUUUAAGCAUUCAGCUUCAUAAGGUAAGGAGGCAACCAGUGACUCAAGCUGCAAUAAUUACAUUUUGGUUAACUUGUUAUAGGGGCUGGAGUGGGUCCAGAAUUUCUUUAAAUUGGUAUCAGG